rnacentral:tRNA from 1 species
GCGCCGUUAGCUCAGCGGGUAGAGCAGCCGCCUCUCAAGCGGCUGGUCCGGGGGUCGAGCCCCCGACGGCGUACC